rnacentral:tRNA from 1 species
GAGAGGAUGGAACUGGUGUUCCAACUGGUCUUCAAAACCAGUAAGGGGCGGAUAACACCGUCCGUGGCAGGUUCGAUCCCUGCCCUCUCAGCCA